CACGUAGGUGGCAAGCGUUGUCCGGAUUUACUGGGCGUAAAGGGCGUGCAGGCGGUCUGUUAAGUGCAGGGUGAAAGCUCCCGGCUCAACUGGGAGAGGUCCUUGCAUACUGGCGGACUUGAGGGGGGUAGAGGAAAGUGGAAUUCCCGGUGUAGUGGUGAUAUGCGUAGAUAUCGGGAGGAACACCUGUGGCGAAGGCGGCUUUCUGGGCCCUACCUGACGCUGAGACGCGAAAGCGUGGGGAGCGAACCGGG
rnacentral:rRNA from 1 species